rnacentral:rRNA from 1 species
CGAACGCUGGCGGCGUGGCUAAAGCAUGCAAGUCGCACGAUUAAAGCCCCCUUCGGGGGGUGUAUAAAGUGGCGAAAGGGCGAGUAACGCAUGGGUAACGUACCCCUCGCACAGGGAUAGCUGCGGGAAACUGCAGGUAAUACCUGAUAAGACCACAGUACCAUAGGGUACAGCGGUCAAAGGGUGGGGAUCCUUCGGGACCUACUGGCGAGAGAGCGGCCCAUGUCCUAUCAGCUUGUUGGUGAGGUAACGGCUCACCAAGGCAUCGACGGGUACCGGGACUGAGAGGUUGACCCGGCGCAUUGGGACUGAGACACUGCCCAGACUCCUACGGGAGGCUGCAGCACCGAAUAUUCCGCAAUGGGCGCAAGCCUGACGGAGCGACGCCGCGUGUGGGAUGAAGCCCUUCGGGGUGUAAACCACUGUCAGGGACUACCAAGCAAUGAGGGCUAAUACCCUUCGGCGUUGAGGAAUCCCAGAGGAAGCCACGGCUAACUUC